UGGGGAAUAUUGCACAAUGGGCGCAAGCCUGAUGCAGCAACGCCGCGUGAACGAUGAAGGUCUUCGGAUCGUAAAGUUCUGUUGCAGGGGAAGAUAAUGACGGUACCCUGUGAGGAAGCCCCGGCUAACUACGUGCCAGCAGCCGCGGUAAUACGUAGGGGGCUAGCGUUAUCCGGAUUUACUGGGCGUAAAGUGUGCGUAGGUGGUCUUUCAAGUCGGUGGUUAAAGGCUACGGCUCAACCGUAGUUAGCCUCCGAAACUGGAAGACUUGAGUGCAGGAGAGGAAAGUGGAAUUCCCAGUGUAGCGGUGAAAUGCGUAGAUAUUGGGAGGAACACCAGUAGCGAAGGCGGCUUUCUGGACUGCAACUGACACUGAGGCACGAAAGCGUGGGUAGCAAACAGG
rnacentral:rRNA from 1 species